rnacentral:rRNA from 1 species
UACGAAGGGGGCUAGCGUUGUUCGGAAUUACUGGGCGUAAAGGGCGCGUAGGCGGCCUGUUAAGUCGGACGUGAAAUCCCCGGGCUCAACCCGGGAACUGCAUCCGAUACUGGCAGGCUCGAAUCCGGGAGAGGGAUGUGGAAUUCCAGGUGUAGCGGUGAAAUGCGUAGAUAUCUGGAGGAACACCGGUGGCGAAGGCGGCAUCCUGGACCGGCAUUGACGCUGAGGCGCGAAAGCCAGGGGAGCAAACGGG